AGAGAAGAGAAGAGAAGAGAAGAGAAGAGAAGAGAAGAGAAGAGAAGAGAAGAGAACAAAACACAUCCCAAUUGGAAUACUAGCAUGAUUCACCCGGAAAUAUUUUAUAAAAUCCUUCGGCUUCCUAACAUUCCUAAAACCUAGAAAUCUCAGGACAUACAGUAUGUUUUAUAACUAAAGUCAAUAGUGUAAGUGACUUUUUGAUACUCAAAUAUAUUUUAAAGUACAUUUAAUCCAUAUAUUGAGCAAUUCCCUACAUCAAUCUAGUUUUCGUUAAAUAAAUUUUCACUUUUGUAAUUACUUUAUAAAUGUUUUCUUAAUUCUAUAAGGGACAUCCCAUCAGCAGAACAAAUUGCAUAGAAGCUCCUAGAAAAUGAGGCAUUUUGACAAGGGUAGGAGGAGAAACAUUGUUGAUUAGGAAUACAUUCUAAAGAACUAUCUAGAAAAAUACACUAGAUAUACUUCCUCCUUGCUUCUAUUUAUUAGAAAUAUAAACUUCUAAAAUAACACAUUACUCAUUUAUUUAUUCAUACAUUCAACAACUAUUUAUCAAACACCUACCAUGAGAAUUUUUAGUUGUUUCUCAAACAUUAGUUCUAGGGAAUCACUUUAUGAUUGUGAACAUCUGUGUUCCAAAUGUAUCAUUAUUCACACGUGAUUUAAAAAAAAACUGUCACUUUAACAAAUUUAUAUUUAUAUAAGAAGUAAACUUUAUAUAGUUACUAAAACAAAAACUAGAAUAUUCUAUGAAUAGAGUGGAAAGUAGGCAUACAAAACAAAAAAUAGAAUGAAAUUAUAAAAGGUUUAUUCAUGUACCACAUAAACUUACUUAAUGUAAUAACAAAGAUACAUAUACCACACUUAGAGAAAUCUGGUCUUGGGAAAUAUUACUGAUAUUUUACAAUGCCUUGAGAUAGUGUAUUUUCCCAGUAUUAACCAUCAGAAUCUAAUUAUCUUGACAUGAGAAACUGAGUUUCAUCAGUUUUUAAAUUCACUUCCUCGCAAAUAGUGGAUGUGCAGUAAACUAUAGGAUAAACACUGCAUAAACCCCUUCGUUCCACACACUAGAAUUUUUUUCUAAAGAGUAAGCGUAUCUUACUCAUAAGAGAUUAUUUUAUUUCUACAUAAAAAGCAUCUAACAUUUAACAACAACAACAAAAAAGUGAUGUAUUCAGAAGAAAGUCCCUUUGCCUUGAUUUGGUAACAUGCAUAUUUCAUGGGCUCUACUUUGAACAUUUAACCAAGAGAUUCAAUGUGAUUAUUUCAGUAACAAUUCAAUUUGAAAUGUCAACUAUGUUCAGCAUUUAAAAAUUAAUAGCUAAAUCCCUUUAAAGAUCAGGGAAAUUUUGUUCUGGCUUAGAAUAAUUUUAUAGCUUAUGAAUCUCCUUAUGCAUUGUUUGCAUAUUUUAAACUAUUCUGAAUAAUGCACUCCCUGUAAAGGCCCAUUAGUUCAAAGAAUUUUGACAGUCACAGCUCAAGGUAUUAAUUUUCAUACCAGAUAUAUAUUUUCGAUUGGCAGUAAAUUUUUCAAACUCAAAUAUACUUUACCUAAAUUGUGACUGUAUAUAUUUUGAAUAGGUUAUAGCAGUAAACAACCAUGAAAAAUUAAAAAAAAAAAA
rnacentral:lncRNA from 1 species